rnacentral:rRNA from 1 species
GAUGAACGCUGGCGGCGUGCCUAAUACAUGCAAGUCGAGCGAACAGACGAGGAGCUUGCUCCUUCGACGUUAGCGGCGGACGGGUGAGUAACACGUAGGUAACCUACCUAUAAGACUGGGAUAACUUCGGGAAACCGGAGCUAAUACCGGAUAAUAUUUCGAACCGCAUGGUUCGAUAGUGAAAGAUGGCUUUGCUAUCACUUAUAGAUGGACCUGCGCCGUAUUAGCUAGUUGGUAAGGUAACGGCUUACCAAGGCAACGAUACGUAGCCGACCUGAGAGGGUGAUCGGCCACACUGGAACUGAGACACGGUCCAGACUCCUACGGGAGGCAGCAGUAGGGAAUCUUCCGCAAUGGGCGAAAGCCUGACGGAGCAACGCCGCGUGAGUGAUGAAGGUCUUCGGAUCGUAAAACUCUGUUAUUAGGGAAGAACAAACGUGUAAGUAACUGUGCACGUCUUGACGGUACCUAAUCGGAAAGCCACGGCUAACUACGUG